rnacentral:rRNA from 1 species
GAUGAACGCUGGCGGCGUGCCUAAUACAUGCAAGUUGAGCGAACGGACGAGAAGCUUGCUUCUCUGAUGUUAGCGGCGGACGGGUGAGUAACACGUGGAUAACCUACCUAUAAGACUGGGAUAACUUCGGGAAACCGGAGCUAAUACCGGAUAAUAUUUUGAACCGCAUGGUUCAAAAGUGAAAGACGGUCUUGCUGUCACUUAUAGAUGGAUCCGCGCUGCAUUAGCUAGUUGGUAAGGUAACGGCUUACCAAGGCAACGAUGCAUAGCCGACCUGAGAGGGUGAUCGGCCACCCUGGAACUGAGACACGGUCCAGACUCCUACGGGAGGCAGCAGUAGGGAAUCUUCCGCAAUGGGCGAAAGCCUGACGGAGCAACGCCGCGUGAGUGAUGAAGGUCUUCGGAUCGUAAAACUCUGUUAUUAGGGAAGAACAUAUGUGUAAGUAACUGUGCACAUCUUGACGGUACCUAAUCAGAAAGCCACGGCUAACUACGUG